UGCUCCGUUAGUUGCCCUGACAUAACUUC
rnacentral:piRNA from 1 species